rnacentral:rRNA from 1 species
UACGUAUGGAGCAAGCGUUAUCCGGAUUUAUUGGGUUUAAAGGGAGCGUAGGCCGGAGAUUAAGCGUGUUGUGAAAUGUAGACGCUCAACGUCUGCACUGCAGCGCGAACUGGUUUCCUUGAGUACGCACAAAGUGGGCGGAAUUCGUGGUGUAGCGGUGAAAUGCUUAGAUAUCACGAAGAACUCCGAUUGCGAAGGCAGCUGACUGUAUCGUAACUGACGCUGAAGCUCGAAAGUGCGGGUAUCGAACAGG